CUCGGAGUUUGAUCCUGGCUCAGAUUGAACGCUGGCGGAAUGCUUUACACAUGCAAGUCGAACGGUAGAGGGGGCAACCCCUCGAGAGUGGCGAACGGGUGAGUAAUAUAUCGGAACGUGCCCAGUCGUGGGGGAUAACGUAGCGAAAGUUACGCUAAUACCGCAUACGAUCUAAGGAUGAAAGCGGGGAUCGCAACGCCUACGCGCGAUUGGAGCGGCCGAUAUCAGAUUAGGUAGUUAGGUA
rnacentral:rRNA from 1 species